CACCCCUACCGACAGCCCUGACUGUGACCAUCAGAGACCGACCGCCGUCGAGAACCGCAGGGCGUCACCGCUCUCCCGCCCGGCCUGUUAUCCCCCACGCUUGCCCCCUUCCAGGCCGCUCUCCGCCUUUCCAAACACCCUCUCGCCCGCUUUUGAUCAACCCCGAUCCCGUCUGCUCCCUCAGAACAGCGGGCUCGAGGCUGGGUAACAGCGCCGACCGGUUGCCAAGGCGUGUUGAUAUGGAGGGGGGUGUGAUGGUCCACGUUUGGUCAUUCGGACAUCAAGGCUGGACGAACCACUGACUCUAAGCUUUAAUUAGAGGCUGGCAUGAUCAUCAUUUGCUCGAGAUGUCAAAAGGGCCCGUUGAGAGGUGGGGCCCGAUCGGCCCACGUGAUGUUUUCUGUGGUUAGCUGAUGAAGAGCAGAUGACGUGAGGAAGACUGCACACAAACAGAAAGUGUCCGUGUGCUUCCUGUGUUGUUCUUGCUGAUGUGUGCUGUUAAAGAAGUUCAAGGCCAGUGAAGUGUUAAACGGUCCCAGCAAGACUCAUCCCCCACCCAACGUCCUCACCGCCAGCCAAACCAAAUUGUACUUUAACUCCAGGAAAGAUGAAAUGCCGCCUCUCAUGAGGGUAGCUGUCUAUCCUGAAUCUCGCCGACAUUUAUAGAAGAAGAACUCGCCAUCGCGUCGGUCUCCACACGACUGACAACUACUAAAAAACACAACGGACACUACUCGGAGCAGCAAGCGGAGAGAGAGAAAAACUGAGGAAUAGAAAUGAAAGACAAACAUCAUUCACAUCUGAUGCCAGAGAUCCAUCAGGUCGCUGCACUUACAGAAUCGGAAAAAAGAAGGAAAAUCCUUUCAGACUCUGGUUCAUAUUGAUGACAAAAAACAUCCAGCCAUGAAUGAGGUCCAGAAGCGGUGAAGAAUAUCAUAGAGAGAGUGACAUUGAGCGGCCAGGGUCUUCUUGGCCACGCUUGACUGAUUCUUUAGGCCCUGUCCUUCGUCCACUUCACUUUCUGUCCCCUCCGCUGCAGGCCCCUGGGAUCCCGAGAUCUCGAGGGACGGGGAGGGUGUCGGCCGCCCGUACCAAAGCUGAUGGGGGGAGACAAGGAAAGGAUGGACAGUGUGUGUGCGUGCGAAGGGGACAAGUGUGAAAGUCUGCCUCCGAAUCCGGAGCGGCUGGCACGCGGUGCAGUCUGCAUCGCAUUCUGACAGAACAAGUGUUGCAUGAGAUGCCCAGAGGUGUCUCAGAGAGCCAGGAGCAGGUGUUGCUCAUCGGCGACUGCACUGGAGCGAAGACCCUUGUGCAUAAGAGCACCGCAGCCAAACGGCCGGGCCAGGACAGCUCACAUACACACACGCAUACACUAAUGAUAAUGGAUAUGGGGUGAACAGGCAGCCAGAUUCUAAUAGAUCAGAACACGCAUGCACACAGGGACGCUUUCAGCUGUUGGUCGGGAUAGAGGAUGUUAAACUCUCAUUAACAUGUUGACAUGCAAAGGCAUUCGGGUAAUGUGCAUGAUUAUUUGCAGGUGGCCAUUGAAUAUUACUUGUACAGUAUUUGCACAUUUAACCAUCACAUUUCCUGAAAAUUUGAUUAUGUAUUUCUGUCUAUUUGGAUUUGUAAUAUGCAAUUUUGUCACAAAUACGUUUGGUAUAAUGACAUGGAUGAGAAAAAGCUUUACUUUGUAAACAUUAAAUAAAACUCUUUGAAAGGUUCUGGUCCAAAUGUCUGUUGGAUGGUUCAGGGCUGCCCUGCUGAUAGGACAACAGAGAAGCAAACUGAGCCAAAAUAGGACACCGGACCAGAGCCAAGAU